rnacentral:rRNA from 1 species
UUAGGAAUAUUCGUCAAUGGAGGAAACUCUGAACGAGCAAUGCCGCGUGAGUGAUGACGGUCCUUUGGAUUGUAAAACUCUGUUGUUUGGAAAGAAAUGUAAGAAGAGGAAAUGCUUCUUAUUUGACGGUACCAUUCAAGAAAGCCACGGCUAACUACGUGCCAGCAGCCGCGGUAAUACGUAGGUGGCGAGCGUUAUCCGGAUUUAUUGGGCGUAAAGCGUCCGCAGCCGGUUUGUUAAGUCUAGAAUUAAAGCCUGGGGCUCAACCCCAGUUCGUUUUAGAAACUGACAGACUCGAGUGUGGUAGAGGCAAACGGAAUUUCUAGUGUAGCGGUAAAAUGCGUAGAUAUUAGAAGGAACACCAGUGGCGAAGGCGGUUUGCUAGGCCACCACUGACGGUCAGGGACGAAAGCGUGGGGAGCAAAUAGG